rnacentral:lncRNA from 1 species
GUCCUGGUCACGCGACGCACGAGUGCCGGGUGCGGUCGGCUCCGGCGGGAUGUUGUAGACGGCGGCGCCGUCCUGCUGGUGGGGGGCAUUCUGCUGAGCGGACAUUGCUGUUGGUGGUGAUGUCGGUGUUUUUUUUGUUCGAGAGGUUGUUGGCGGAUGUUGGCGGAGGGUGGCGAAAGGUCAGCGGGUCGAUGCGGCGGAUAUCUCGGUGUUGAGGAGGCGGAUGUGCUG